rnacentral:rRNA from 1 species
AUUGAACGCUGGCGGCAGGCCUAACACAUGCAAGUCGAGCGGAUGAAGGGAGCUUGCUCCUGGAUUCAGCGGCGGACGGGUGAGUAAUGCCUAGGAAUCUGCCUGGUAGUGGGGGAUAACGUCCGGAAACGGGCGCUAAUACCGCAUACGUCCUGAUGCAGAAAGUGGGUGAUCUUCGGACCUCACGCUAUCAGAUGAGCCUAGGUCGGAUUAGCUAGUUGGUGGGGUAAAGGCCUACCAAGGCGACGAUCCGUAACUGGUCUGAGAGGAUGAUCAGUCACACUGGAGCUGAGACACGGUCCAGACUCCUACGGGAGGCAGCAGUGGGGAAUAUUGGACAAUGGGCGAAAGCCUGAUCCAGCCAUGCCGCGUGUGUGAAGAAGGUCUUCGGAUUGUAAAGCACUUUAAGUUGGGAGGAAGGGCAGUAAGUUAAUACCUUGCUGUUUUGACGUUACCAACAGAAUAAGCACCGGCUAACUUCGUG